rnacentral:rRNA from 1 species
ACGGGGCCCGCACAAGCGGUGGAGCAUGUGGUUUAAUUCGACGCAACGCGAAGAACCUUACCAGGGCUUGACAUCCCCUGACCGCGUAUGAAAGUACGUUUUCACCCUCGGGUGACAGGGAGACAGGUGGUGCAUGGUUGUCGUCAGCUCGUGUCGUGAGAUGUUGGGUUAAGUCCCGCAACGAGCGCAACCCCUACGUUUAGUUGCUAACGCGUGAAGGCGAGCACUCUAGACGAACUGCCGUUGACAAAACGGAGGAAGGUGGGAUGACGUCAAAUCAUCAUGCCCCUUAUGUUCUGGGCUACACACGUGCUACAAUGGCCGGUACAGACGGACGCAAAGCCGCGAGGUGGAGCAAAUCCUAAAAAGCCGGUCUCAGUUCGGAUUGCAGGCUGCAAUUCGCCUGCAUGAAGUCGGAAUCGCUAGUAAUCGCAGGUCAGCAUACUGCGGUCGAAUACGUUCCCGGGCCUU